rnacentral:rRNA from 1 species
CCUACGGGUGGCUGCAGUGGGGAAUAUUGGGCAAUGGGCGCAACCCUGACCCAGCAACGCCGCGUGGAGGAAGAAGGCUUUCGGGUUGUAAACUUCUUUUCUCAGAGACGAUGAUAGUGAUGUUACCUGAAUAAGAAGCGACUGCUACCUACGUGCCAGCAGCGGUGAUACUACGUAGGUGGGAAGCGUUAGCCGGAUUUACUGGUUGGAAGGGGCGAGUAGGCGGGACUGCAAGUCAGAUGUGAAAACCAAGGGCUCAACCUGAGAACUGCAUUUGAAACUGUAGUUCUUGAGUACUGGAGAGGCAGGUGGAAGUCGUGGUGUAGGGGUGAAAUGCGUAGAGAUUAGGAGGAAUACUCGUGGCGAAGGCGACCUGCUGGAACAUAACUGACGCUGAGGCGCGAAAGCGUGGGGAGCAAACAGGAUUAGAUACCCGGGUAGUC